CGCGCUCGCACAAGGUGUCUCGGUCAUCUCGGAAACGCUGGACGGACAGCGAGCCGGCGGCGUGACGGGAACUUGUAAAACACAAAUCAUCCGGGUCAUCAGUGUUCAAUAGUUUGUCCUGUGUACAGUCUACAGCCAGCUGCCGCAUCAGAGUCAGCGCAGAAAUCCUGAUGCAGCGCAGUGCACGCGCUAUACGGGUGUUACUGAGGGGGAGGUUCUAGAAUGGGGCUGUUGGAACAGUUGUACUCAUCAGUCAUUUUUCCAGUUAACGAAGAGUGGAGCAUGCUCCCAGGCACACAGGCAAACCGAUGAGCAGGAGGAGAUCCCGGGAAAGUGGAGAAACGUGACUCCUCUUGGAAGCUGGUUUCAGAUGGUGGCUUAGAGUGUUCCUGUCAGUAUCUAGCACCAUUUGAAAUCAGUGUUCUUGGGGUGGGAGAAACAUCCUUCUGUUUGUAAAAACCCUGUGGUUUCUGUGUUUUUCUCUAAAUUGAUACAUGAUUUUGAAAAUUCAGUUUUACUUAGUUUACUAAACAUCUAGAUCAUGUCCUGUCACCAAGGCUGACCGAUUUCUUCUGGUGUUCAGAGUCUUUUGGGGUUUCUAGCACCAUUUGAAAUCGGUUACAAUGAAGGACAGAAACCGGCGUUUAAAGAAAAGAAAUGAAUAAUUUUCUGCUGCCUGCUACAUUACUGAAGAGAUGUUUGUGGAAAGUGGUAAGUUGCAGAACUAUUACACAGAUAAAUAAAUGCCAUAGGUUGGACGAUUUUUUUUAUUCAUAAAAUACUGUAAGAGUAGCAAUCAGAUAUAUUGUUCACUACCAGUCAAAAGUUUGGACACUCCUUCUAACUCCAUUGUCUUUCCAGAUUUUUAUUUCUUUCUACACUGUAAAGCAAUGCUGAAGGCAUUUAAAAUAUGCAAUAAUCUCCUUUCAACAGUUGAUAUUGAGAUGUGUCCGCUUCUUAUGCUCUGUAAUGCUUUCAUAAUGCUUUCGAAAACUGGGGAUUUUUGAGGUUGGUAACUCUAAGUGAACUUCUUUUCUGCAGCAGAGGUACUGCAAGUUUUGGUCUUGCUUUCCUGGAAUGGUCUUGAUGAGCACCAGUUUAAUCAUGGUGCUUGAUGGGUUUGCAAAUGGUGGUUUCACACAGGAAUUAAGUAUGCAUAUUACACUAUACACAAGUAUCGACAUCCUAUGGUUAAAUGGAUAUUGGCACCUAACCAUUACACCCAUGCUUGGUUAAAUGGAUUUUGACCUCAUUUGCUGUCGAAACACUUGGCGCCAUUUCUGGGAAGGCUUUCUACAAGAUUUUGAAAAGUGUCAAUGGGAUUCAUGUGUCCAUUCAUGUCAUAUAAUACUUGGGAAGUCUGGAAAGCUCAGCUCACCUUUAACGUUUUUUUUUUUUUUAGUUGGGUUAAGGUCAGGGCUCUGUGCAGGUCACUUAAGUUCCUCCACACUGGAGAUAUUAAACCAUGUCUUUAUGUCAGGGCACAGUCUUGCUGGAACAGGAAAUCCAUGGAUACCCUUUUCAUGAAGCUUCCAAAGCAUAGUUCUUAUGCUGAUAUUGCUUCCUGGGGCAGUUUGGAACUCUGCAGUGAUUUAAUAAAGGAUAAGUGAUUUCUUUUAAUAUCUUACAUGCUUCAGAACAUUUGCCAGCACCACUUUGCAUUUGUGAUGUAUUGCUCCGUAGCUGAGGUGCUGUCUUAGAUGCUUCCAUUCCACUAACUUACAGUUGACCAGGACAGACCAGGCAUCUUGUGAUGGGGCUACAUUUAAAGUUAGCCUCUUCAAUAUUACCUAUUCUACUCCCAGUGCUUGUCUAUGGAGAUUGCGUGGCUUUUUUUUUUUUUUUGAAAACAUGGAACACAUUUCUGACAGUUGGCAAAACCACAUAAAAAAAACAAACAGAUGUUUUGCUAUGCCGAAUGUCUACAAGAAGUCAGUGGGGAGAGUUUUCUCAGUAUGCUCAGAGCCAUGAUCAGACUGCCUCCUUCAUGUAUGAAAUGUUGUCCUUCUAGGAAGUCUUUAAUAGCCCAAACAUGUGGAAAUGGAGCACGUUCAGGACUGUACUGAGGAUGUGGCAAUAACCCCCAGACGUUUCUGUAAUUUGCAAGUGGUGUUCGGGAAUGAUUGUUUAUACAGUUAUACAGUUGCCACAGACAGAUGCUUCACUUCCUCAAGCUGGGGACAAGUUAUCAACAAUCUUCAAGGAUCAGCCAAAACUACUCACUGCAUGGUUACUGGAACGACUGCAAAAGGCUCAGAGCCACCUCGGCUGGGAUCGUCAUUCAUGGACAUAAUGCUUCUGUCAUUACGUCUUAUAUCUUCAUUCAUGGGAAAUUCCAUCUCAAGUCUGGGUUUGACUUUUAACUCUCCAAGUACUUAACUACUGGUACUUUUGAUUUGCAGAUAAACCUUUUUGUUCUACCAGAAAUUAUUGUGAAGGAUUGUAUUAAUAAUAUAUUCUUUCAUAACUUAAACACCGCAUAUUCUGGGUUUAUACUAUAUGAUUAUAAACCCACUUACUAUAUAAGUAAUAGUUAUGCUGCAUUGCAUAAUACAUUUGAAAUUUGUAAAUGCAGCAUUAGUAGUAUUAGCCUACUCUUAAUUAAGAGUUUAAAAGCCAGUGUAUUUUUUUUUGCAAUUUCUUUUAAAAAAUAUAUAUAUUAUUUGCAUCAUGCUUUAAACAAGAAAUUGCCAGAAAGUUAGGUGUGCAAGAACAUGAGCCAACCAAACUGAAUGGAAUUAAGGGGAAUGCCCACUGCAUGCCAUGCCAUCCCAAAUAGCAUCUGAGGCCAUUUUGGCUGAAUGGGCACAAGCCCCAAUAACCACAUUAUAAAUCUAAAGUAAUGCUUUUCCAAAAGAUUAAAGGCUGUUAAAGCGGCAGCAAGUGAACCAAAUCCAUGUUAAUGCCCAUGAUUUUGGUCUAUGACGUUCAGGAAAAGAUUCAGCUGUCCACAAAUAUUUGAUCAUUAAACACAGUUGUAGAAGAGUAAAGCCAAACUGUUUUUUGCGCUGAAAGAGUCUUCAACAUAAGCUUACUGCAAAUACGCAUCUUGGAAUUAACAGUGGAAAUUAUUGCAAAAUCACACCAGGAUCUCUAGCCAUAUGUGUAGUUACCGGCUCUCAACAGUGUCAUUGGUGAUUCAUUAAUCCAGUAUCCAAGAGUUCUGUUGUGUACAGAUUACAUUUCAGAUGAUGUAUCUCUCAAAAAAAGAGGCUUCUUUUAAAACACUGAAGAAGUGGAAGAAGGAAAAGCAUUAUCAGUGUAACAGUGAUAUGGGUCCCAACCAGUGAUCUAGACAUGACACUAGAAAUGUAGUCUUGAGUUCAGGUCCAGUGUAAACAUAACCAGGAUGAAAACAAAAAAAAAUAUGAUAGAGAACAAGAGUGAAACAAGAACUAAUUUCUGGGGAAAUCCAACAGUAAUGCUUUAAACUAAUGAUACCUGACCUGUGCAUGCUAUCUGAAAAGGCUAAAGCUCCUAUAGAUUUAUCAAAGACGAAGUCAGAGCAAAUCUGAUGUCCAAGUCAGCAAGAGUGGAGAUUAGAAUUUGGUGAUUUACUGGUCCAGAAGGUUGAGAACAGAGAUGGUAGAUUUCUCUGCCUUUGUGUGGGGUCUCAUUGCCUAGAAUGUAAGUGACUUGUCACGCAGGCUUGAUGACUAAUGAAUGCCUGAAUGGUGGUGACCUUUGCGAAGUUCAUCAUAAAUUCACUAGAAGAGAACAAGAGAGAGAGGUAAUCGGUGCCUGACACUCUUGGAAUGUCAAAAUUUUCCCCAUUACAUCUGCAAAGAGCAAGAUAGCGGUGUUGAUGUGAAAGGAUGGGGAAAUAACAUUUCUUAUGAAGGAAAUAGUUGUGGCUUUGGCACAAGAAAAUGGUCCGAGGGGUCAAAUGGAAUAGUGUGUGAAAAACAUACUGUAAACUGUAUAAAACUAACCCUCUGUGAAGCUGACGUCGCCUAAACCUCUGGUUAAUCCAUCAAUGGGCAAAUGAGCAGAACAAAGAGAGACUGGCUGUUGUUUGGAACAUACCUAUCUAACUCAGUUACCACCCAGAAGCUAGCAAGCUUAGCUUCAACAGUUAAAAUCCAAUAGUGACUCACGUUAAUUCAUAUGCUGAUGCAUUUAAUUGAACAUUGCUAGCAGUCCUAAUUAUUCAUCUUUAUAGCUUGAUGUAACUGUAACUGAUUAGUAACAUAAAAAUACACCAAUAACAGUUGUCGUGAAUUGGAAAUCUAGCUAUGGAAACCAAACUGUUCUUCGUUUUAUGUUGUAAACGUAUUUAUUUCCUUAUCUUAACAUGUGGAUUGACUCACUUUUGGAGCCAGCCCCCGGUGGACAUUCAAGGAACUUCUUGUUUUCUCAAUUGUGCAUUGGCUCCAUUUUUCAGAGCUACAGUAGAGGAUGCACCUUGGUGAAAACAAGAUUGUUGCUAGCGUUUAACAAUUGUUUGCUUGUUGCUAACAAGCAAACAGUUGCUUGUUGCUAGCGAAAACAAGAUCGUUGCUAGCGUUUAUGAUUGACCAGGACAGAAUCUACAGUUGCUACAACUCCACAUGAGCAAACAAAACUAUUCCACACAAAACAAAAAAACAAAAACAAAUGUUAUCACAACCUUUAUUACAUUUUAUUGACAAUUUAUUAUGAUGGUUUAUGUGAAAAAAAUAUAAAAUAUGACCAUUGUAAAAUAGUCACUGGACACCAACAAUGUAAAAAUCAAAGUAAAUUACUUAACAAAAAGUUGGGGGAGGAGACGACAGGGUUAUUUGACGGGAAAUUAAAAAAAAAGUUUAAUAUUUAACUAUUAAAUAUUAGUAUUCCUAAAUGCUGUUAUACAUAUACAGCACUCACUCCUAUGAUCAGUCAUGCACACACAUUUAGUUUGCAUUCUUUCCCUGUUCCUGAACUGGAAACCAGUGAAUUUUUGUGUGUGUCUGUGUGCGUGUGAGGGAGAGAUCCUUUCUCUCUUUCACACCUACAAGUGGAUGUUGAUCAAACAUUAAACUUACCCAUCAUCUAAUGUCCAUUUAAUCUGAAAAUAAAAUUAAAGGGUUUGACUUCAA